rnacentral:rRNA from 1 species
CACGGGGGGAGCAAGCGUUGUUCGGAAUCACUGGGCGUAAAGGGCGUGUAGGCGGUCAGGUAAGUGGGAUGUGAAAUGCCCCGGCUCACCCGGGGACCGGCAUCCCAUACUGCUUGGCUUGAGUACGGGAGAGGAUGUGGGAAUUCCUGGUGUAGCGGUGAAAUGCGUAGAUAUCAGGAGGAACACCGGUGGCGAAGGCGCACAUCUGGCCCGAUACUGACGCUGAGGCGCGAAAGCUAGGGGAGCGAACGGG